UACAGAGGUCUCAAGCGUUGUUCGGAUUCAUUGGGCGUAAAGGGUGCGUAGGUGGCGCGCUAAGUCGGGUGUGAAAUCUCGGAGCUUAACUCCGAAAUUGCAUUCGAUACUGGCGUGCUUGAGGACUGGAGAGGAGACUGGAAUUCAUGGUGUAGCAGUGAAAAUGCGUAGAGAUCAUGAGGAAGACCAGUGGCGAAGGCGGGUCUCUGGACAGUUCCUGACACUGAGGCACGAAGGCCAGGGGAGCAAACGGG
rnacentral:rRNA from 1 species